rnacentral:rRNA from 1 species
UACGAAGGGGGCUAGCGUUGUUCGGAAUUACUGGGCGUAAAGGGCGCGUAGGCGGUACUUCAAGUCAGGCGUGAAAGCCCCGGGCUCAACCUGGGAACCGCGCUUGAGACUGGAGAACUAGAGUUCGGGAGAGGAUGGUGGAAUUCCCAGUGUAGAGGUGAAAUUCGUAGAUAUUGGGAAGAACACCGAUGGCGAAGGCAGCCAUCUGGACCGACACUGACGCUGAGGCGCGAAAGCGUGGGGAGCAACAGGA